rnacentral:rRNA from 1 species
AUUACCGCGGCUGCUGGCACAGAGUUAGCCGGUGCUUAUUCUGCGAGUAACGUCCACUAUCCUAGAGUAUUAAUCCAAGUAGCCUCCUCCUCGCUUAAAGUGCUUUACAACCAAAAGGCCUUCUUCACACACGCGGCAUGGCUGGAUCAGGCUUGCGCCCAUUGUCCAAUAUUCCCCACUGCUGCCUCCCGUAGG